rnacentral:rRNA from 1 species
CCUACGGGAGGCAGCAGUGAGGAAUAUUGGUCAAUGGACGAGAGUCUGAACCAGCCAAGUAGCGUGAAGGAUGACUGCCCUAUGGGUUGUAAACUUCUUUUAUAUGGGAAUAAAAUGUUCCACGUGUGGGAUUUUGUAUGUACCAUAUGAAUAAGGAUCGGCUAACUCCGUGCCAGCAGCCGCGGUAAUACGGAGGAUCCGAGCGUUAUCCGGAUUUAUUGGGUUUAAAGGGAGCGUAGGUGGAUUGUUAAGUCAGUUGUGAAAGUUUGCGGCUCAACCGUAAAAUUGCAGUUGGAACUGGCAGUCUUGAGUACAGUAGAGGUAGGCGGAAUGCGUGGUGUAGCGGUGAAAUGCUUAGAUAUCACGAAGAACUCCGAUUGCGAAGGCAGUUCACUGGACUGCAACUGACACUGAGGCUCGAAAGUGUGGGUAUCAAACAGGAUUAGAUACCCUUGUAGUC